UAGGGAAUCUUCCACAAUGGACGAGAGUCUGAUGGAGCAACGCCGCGUGAGUGAAGAAGGUUUUCGGAUCGUAAAGCUCUGUUGUUGGUGAAGAAGGAUAGAGGCAGUAACUGGUCUUUAUUUGACGGUAAUCAACCAGAAAGUCACGGCUAACUACGUGCCAG
rnacentral:rRNA from 1 species